AUAAUUAUCCUUUCUAGGCUUGAUUUGGGAUAUUUAUAUGCAUGGAAAGGAAUUUGGUUUUAGGGCUUCAUCGACAAGUCGCUGUUCUUUUCUUUGCAUAGAUCUGGCCACUCAUUCAUUUGCAUAGAUCCCAUGUAAUGGGCUAGGCCUUCACAAGUCUCAUCAUGAUUUGGGUGAUCUCUUGUUUUGGUUAAUUAAUAUCUGUUAGAUUGGCAUGGUGUUUGUAUGGUAGCCCAUUACAUGCAGGUGUCUAGAUCAAUGUACUAGACAGUCCAAAUGCAACCAGUCCGGGUCCUGUAAUAAUUACAUUACAAAAGGCCUGAAGGAAGUGGAUUGCAUCCUGUAAUCAAUGUAUUAGACAGUCCAAAUGCACCCAAAACCAAGUCUGACUUAGACUACGAAUGUCCCUUGAGUUGGGUAAUAUCAAGUUGUGUCCGUGAGUUCUAAAACUAUGCACAUUGAAGCCACUGAAGAUUGGAAGGUGGACUGAAGAAUGCCAUAGCUUGGGUCUCUAAAACUGUCCAAAUGUUUUGCAUUCUGUGAGAAAUUGAAGGUGCACUCUGUGUUUGAGAAAAUGUCUCACAUGCUCUAACUCAGCUCGAACUGGCCCGAGUUGCUGACCGAAUUGAGCCGAGCUGGCCAGUCAGACUCGAGGACCGAACUGAGCUGGCCAAUCUUGUGUUUGAAUCUCACCCUAGUUGUUGCUGGUGGUAGUGUUCUUGCUCUUAUUGUCAAUGUGGCUACUUGUACUACUGUUAGGAGAUAGAAACAUGGGCAAAGAAACAAAUCGAACCUGUCCUACGUCCAUGCAUUCAACACCCUUGUAGCUACGAUAAACCCAUCCCAAGAAACAACUAAGGAAAGAAGCAUGCUCACCAUCUCCUUGUAGCCACCCAAUGCAUGUUUCUUCUUCAAAGCAUCAAUGAUUUCCACAGCAUAGAGGAAAGGCAUGUUGGGCAUUCCUGAAAUCAAACAGAGAACAUUAAUACUCACAAAUAUAUUAUGGAGGUUUGCUAAUUCUAGACAAGGGCACAUAUGGAAAUAUGAAACACAGGUGUGAGAUAGCUUUCUGUAAGAUUGGAAAUAAUGCGUAUACCUUCUGCCUAAAAAAUCAGACAAUUUCACUCUUCAGGUGGGUCACAACAUACAAAGUAAAUUGAUGAUUGAACUUGUUUUUCCUCUAGCCAUUCAUUUGUCUUGAUAUGUCGUGGCCAACCUGAGGUGUAGGAUUGCCUGAUUGAAUCCAGAAGAUCUAAACAAUGUAUCUCACCUAAUGGAAUGCUCAAAUCAUAGACAUAUUACAAUGUAGACAUGUUCCCGAGUGUGGAUGUGUGCGGCUCCCACACAUAUUGUUGAAUUACCAAACCUCUUGUAUUAUGUAUAGAAAACAUAUCUAGUCAAUUGAAUUUGAGGUCCGUUACUUGAGCCAUUCAUGUUUCACAUACAAAAGGAUGGUCAAGACAAUCCAUCUGAUCAGGCCUGUAGCAGAUCAAGGAUUAUGCUUACAUCAUAUUGGUAGGACAAACCUAUCCAUCUAAUUGGUGGGGUGUUCAUAGUUCAAACAGGUGUUAAAAAAGAAAAUAUCAUCAACAUGAGCAUGUAUAGAAAAACAUGAUGGUAUUCGGGAAUGUAGUAGCCGUUGUAUGGCUUGCAACAGAUAUGGCAGGAACAUGAAGCUUGCAGAAGCAGUGCACCUAUACUUCAUGGUUCCCAAGAUUUUCCAAUACAGUUCUCAUGGACUGGUACAGAGUGCCCUUUCUUCAAUCCAAUCUGAUCCUUUUUUUCUUCGGAAAACAUUACCAAUUAGUCACUUAAACCUUUUUGUAAUCUCAUUUCUAUGACCCGUAAAUGCUUCUAACAUCUUAAACUGCAACUAGACCUCUUUCUUGCUCCCUUCUUCAUGUGUCUUUCUAAAAUUCAAGUAUAAAUGUCGUUGAUAGAGUACUUCACGGAAGUUCCAUUAUGUGUUCAGCCCCACUAUUCACAGCAAAUGUGCAUCAUCAUUGGGACCAUUGGCCCGAAAGUCAUGGUGAUUGAAUAAUCCUAACCAUUUGAUCAUUUGCAAGUUUGAAACAUUAAAUUUGGAUUGCUGCGCAUUCUUAGCUCAUCUUUUUGUCAAUAUCCAUUUGCAGCCUACUAAGCAGGUAUGACUCAUCCACAAGUGAGCAACUAGGACGAUGGCUGUUCUUGAAAUACACAUGCUGCAAGCAGGCUACAUGUGCCAGAAUGGAAAAUGCGUCUGAGAUCCAACCCGUCCAACCAGCAAGUCCCACCACCUGUGCCUAAGCCAAAAAGCAGGCCACUCCAUGUUUUGAUCAUCACAUCCUAUUGAUCAACAUUGCGCAAAAGAUGAUUAUGAAUUGAUCACCUGCCAGCAACGUCCGAGCACUUCAAGGCCUGUGGAGGAAUGACUUGGUGGCAUUAAAGGGAUCAUGCCCAAAUUGUGGGCAGGAGAUUGAUUGCCAUUAAUCUCAAAUUAUGCAGUUUAGAACUUCUACAAGCUCGCCUUUCAAUAUUCUUCCUAACUAUAUGCUCAGUCAGCUUUGCUGCACAAACAUCAUGGAACUCUCCCUUCCAAUACAAAAGUUGUUUUUCUUCCUUGCAAGUCUUUGCAUCCGUUUGGGCAGAACAAACCAGUCAAUCACCUCAUAAAGCAGAUAGCCAUGUGUGUGAGUGCACCCUGGAAUUUUGUACUAAGGUGGAGAGGAACAUGAUACAAGAGGCAAUAACCUUCUUAUUGGAUGUUUUGAAGCCAAAUUUACCGGAACAUGCUUACCUCCAAACCAAGGUUAUCAUUUUUAGUAGAUUAACUUGGUAUUUUCUUUCUUUUCUUUCAAUUUUGUUCAGGUCUAUAAUGUCAAAUCUGUAAUAAUUGAUAGCCCUAUUAGGAAUCCAGAUAUCCCAGACUAUAUGAAGCCAUUCAGAUAGUUUGGAUAAAAAUUUCAUAUUGUAAAACAACAUUCCUAAUUAUCUAAUUUUAGUUUAUAUGGAGAAUUCAUCUCUAUGACAGUGUUUGUAACUUUAUAUGGCAUAUCAAAUCUUGUCAUUUGUCAUUUUAGUUCUAAAAAUUCAAUCUCUCAUUUAAGCAUGCUCAGUUUGAAAAUAAAUACUCAGGUUUACUCUUGUUUUCAUGUUGUUGUUGUCAUGUUUACAAGUUGCUCUGGGCACUGUAUUUCUGAUGAAAAUCAGCCUCUUAGUUCUUUUCACCUGUUUCCUCUGUUUUCCUUGAGGAAUUUAUUAACUCGUAGAAGCCCACUUUGUUGUUCUGUCAUUUACCUUGUAAGUGUCAAAUAUCUAGAUGCUGGCAUGGCAGGAAGAAGUAGAACGGGCACGCAUAGGUCAAAGAGAUGCAGAGAGCAAACUUUCUUCGUUGGAGGCAAGUUUCUUAGUUCUUAGGCAAACAUUUCCAGAUUAUAUAUUUCUUGAAACUGGAAGAUUGUGGAAGCAAGAUCAUCAAGUCUUUCAUUCUGCAAGAACCAACGGCUGAGGUGCAGAAAAUGAGGGUUGAGAUGGCUGGAAACAUACUAUGAGGUAAUGCUUCUUGUUACUUAUAGCCUUCUAUACAUGCUUCAUUUUCUAAGAAAUGCUCCUUUACAUUCCUAAUUGUAGCAUCCAUGCAUGUUGUAUGUCACUUUGAACAUGCUAGGUGCCUAUGUAAUAGUGUACGAUCAUGCUUAAAACUCUAAAUUUGUAUGUUGUGGCCCACAUGAGUCUUGAAAUGUCCUGAUUUCUGGGAAAUCCACACGAGGAUGUUCCCUCCACAUCAAGUAAAGCUCCCUGUAACUGGUAGCCGUAUGAAAGUCUGAAUGACACGGAAGCAUUUCUGUUUUCUUCUCUAGAGGAAAACCUUGAUCCUCUGCCAGAGCAUGUUGAGUGAUGUGAAGGCACUUCAAGUUAUAACUCACUUAAAACUGUUGUAACUUAAAACUGCAUGCAUGUAGUUUGAAUGUUCUUUAAAUAUCUUUUAUAUGAUAUUUCUCUGUCUGAUUAGUUGACACUUUCCCAUGUACCCAGAUGCUUAGUGUAUAAGUGUAACUGCCAUACACAACUCACCAUGAAGAUCUCCUUAGCUGACGCAAUAAGCUUGACAUUGAUGUGGAAGACUAUCAGAUGGUUGAAAACAUAAGUGCAACCAAUGGUCCAGAUGCGUUGACCAAUCAGAUGGCUUGGAUUGUUCAUUCACAUGGUGUCACCCAUCCACAGUCCACACCUAUUCAUCUGAACAGUGUUGGAAUUAAUACUUGUUGGACCGAUUGUGCCAGGGUACUCAGCUAACAGGCUGGUUCAUAGUUACCUAAUUCAUUGGAGGGAAACUUCCCUUGCUUGACAUGUCUACUUUCUUCUUUAGGGUGUACCAAAUUUGUCCACUUUCCUAAUGGUUUCUUGUGCACAAUACCAUUGUAAAUGGCCCUAUACAUGUUAGGUUGGCCUACAUUUCGGCUUAGGUAUUUUAUGAAUACAAAUGGAUAUUUCCAUUGUCUGGCUGAUCUUGUUCAUAUUCAGUGUUGAUUCACUCAUCAAUAUUUGUGUUCUUCAGUACAUUUAAAAUGAUAUGUCUACUUUCUUCUUUAGGGCGUACCAGAUCGAGUUAACGAUGAGGUUUUUUUGCCAUGUCAAAAGCUCUGAACUUCAUCAACUCAGAUGAGCUUUCCAUGCAGUGCAUUCUGAUUGCUUUGAACUGUUUUCUUCAGGUUUGUUAUUGUUUUCUUUAAAUUAUUUCAUCAGUGUUGUAUCAUUAAGUUUAAAUUAGGGCACCAUGAGGUCAUUGGAAUUUGGAAUGUACUCGAAGCAAGGGAUAACUGAUGCAACAAAAAGAGCUUUGCUAAUACCACAUGCAUGUACAAGGCGGCUCAUGUACACACCAACACAUGGGACAGCGGGGAAGAUACAUGUAGCAUCCACACCAACAGCAAGUCCCACUUUGUAGAUGUUCUCAUCCAAAAAUAGGUAUGAUCCAUUCAGUAGGUGAGCCACAGUAUUAAAUGUUGGACAUGUUAGGAAAUUUCAGGCUUCUUCUGAGCAAUCAUUUGUUUCAAAAACUGUGGCCCACCUGACUUGUGGACUGGCCUGAUUCUUUGGCAAGGGCAUCUACAUGGUGAUGCCCCUUUAAUCAACGGAUGGAUUAGAUGACAUAUCAAUGUGCCAUGCCAACGCUUGUAGUGUGUAACUGAGCCACCUUGUUUGACAAUUGAUACCCCAAUACGAGAAAAAGGGCUAAUCUAUGUUUCCUUUCCUGAUAUGCAUAUCAGCAUAGGUUUGACAAGGAUAUUUGGCUUCCAUGGAGGUUGUUGUUCUAUCAGGGAAAUUGUGCGUGUAGGCUAUUUGGUUGGUGAAUUUUACUCUUUGUUUUAUAUGGGAAUUUAAAUUCACUUCUUCUUGUAUCCUGUUCUGCUUCUGCUUAUUUUAUAUAGGUUGGUUUUGUUAAGAACAAUGCUUCUGAGCUUUUUGUUACCUUUCUAGAGUAGGCAGUCCAUCCAUUCUGUAGUUGCAUGGUCAGGAAGUCUAUCCGCCCUGUCUCAGUCAUCUCACUUGUACUUGGAAGGUGCUGGUGAAAAAUUCCCCAUCAUCCAUUAACACCCACCAGUACCAAGUCCUUUUAACAUCAUUCCACUGUACUUGUGUCCAUGUGUAAUAGUGAUCUGGACAAUCCAUCUUCCAGCCCCAACCAUGGAUGGGCAAGGCCCAAAAAUUUCACUGAUGGGUUGAUAUUGACUAUCUGAUUGCUGGGCUGUAACUGGAAGGCCUCAACAUAGAUGGACUAAAAUGGCCUCAUAGAAUGCACUGCUACUCGUACAUAUGCAGCCUCAUUCAAUCAUAUCCGCGCUUCAGUUUACAUACACCUGACUUGACUGCAGAUGCAGGUUGAAACCAGCAGUCCUUGUUCUUGCAGCUGUAAUUGUUCGAAUGCAUGCCUGGCUCCUUUAAUAAAACUUCAAAAAAAAAAAUGUUUGCAUGCAUGCGUAUGAAACUACAUACAUAAAUGCAUACUUAGAAUGUGGAUGUAUAUAGAAGCUUUAAGCUGAAGAGCUAACUUGUAAUGAAUGCGGGUUGAACCCAAGCACACACUCACUGCACCAAAAAUCCUGAUUAGGCACGGCCACACUUUUGGUUUACAAAGGGAUUAAAGCCGUACCUAAUUAGGAACAAUUUUAAACCUUUUUAAUUGUACUUAGAUUUUAUUCCCAUCCUUUCUUUAAAAAAAUCACCCCUAAAAGCUCUCUUCUUCCGCGAUUUUUCAGUGCGUGAACGAGGAUUUCAAAUCCCUAAGCUCGCUUCUUCUGCGAUUUUCCGGUGUGUAAACAAGGAUUUCAAUCCCUUUUAUUUUUUCCAAACACUAUAUAGGAGUUUGACAAUACCUGUUUGCGAUCAAGGGCGACUGCCUUGAGCAUGAACUCCAUGCCAUCGUCAAAGGUGAUAUUUCUCCAGCAGGUGGUUCAGGCUCUCAUUGCCAUCCACUUUUUUGCCGAUUGGAAUGACAGAUCAGCGUCGUCAUUUGGCGAAAGAGGGGUUUUUGAAACCCUAGCAUGGUAGGAAGCGUGGAAGCAGCGUACGCUCGAUGGAGCAGGGGUGGAAGUCGAGACUGGGAGCAACCGUAGAAGAUGGUGGCCAAAGGUCUUGAAUGAGGAUUUGAGCAAGCCACGUCAUAGGAUGACGGAUUUAAUGGCUGCCUGAGGCACAUGGUUCACUGAUUUCUGAGGGUUGCCAGAUUUAAUGGAGGAUCGAAGAUAGAAGCCAACGAAGAAGAAGGCCCUGUGAUUUUGCGAUCUGCGACGGUGGUGGACUGACAAUCGGAGCAGAACUCUGCUCUUUGUUAUUGUAGGUGUGGGUGAAGGCCCUGUUCUUGUGGUGGACUCGUGUGAGAAGAGGUGGUGAAAACAUUCCAACAGCCUUGAUAUCUGAUGAAGGAUUGAUUUUGUCUCACUCAACUGCUGACGAAGAAGCCACAGAUUUGCAAGUUCAUUCCUCUCUAUAUCUCUCCUACUGUUUUGGUGUUUUACAAACAUUGUUUUUUAUUUUUCAAUUCUCUGACAGAGGCAAAUAAAUUGUUUCUUUUCCAUUUUUUUUUCCCAUUAGGUCAGUUUUGUUAGUUUCAAAAUAUUUGUUUUGAGAAAAGGCUAAACCAUUCUCUGAUGUUUCAGGGCUGCAGGUCCAGAGGAUACUGAUGCUUCUAGCACAUCAGAUUAUUUUUCUUCUGAUACAGAACAGUCUGAUAUUUCCAAAGAGAAAUACAAGUUUCAGGAAUCCACUGGACAGCCCGAUAUUUUCGAUGUAUCAGAACCAGGAGAUUUGUCAGCAUCAGGGUUGUUUUCAUGUUUUGAAAAUCGAAGCAUAUUGAGAAGCCUCUGGCAAGUGAAACACUACAGGGCAUGGAGUGUGUUCCUGAAGUGAGUUGUGAUAGAAUGGAUACAGACCCACAUCAUGAGGAUUUAGAGUUGACUCAAGUCUCCUUGACACUUCAGUCAGAGGCAUCAAAAUGGUGUAGAAAGUUGGAAACUUCAGAUGCAAAUUAUUUAUUUGGUACAUGUUGGCCACUUGGAGGUCUUCUGAAUAAUCCUUUUUCUUCUGUUGGAGGAUACACAGGUGAGAUGCGUGCUCAUCUUACUAAUGGUAGCCAAAAGGUGAAUGAUAGGAAUGUGGAAAUCUCGACGAGAGAAGAUUCAAAUUUUGGUAAAGAGUCUGGCUCUGGCAAUUCUAAUAUGGAGCCAGUCAUGAAAAAGAUGAAGUCAAUAAUCCUAAGUUUGAAAAUUCAUCAACUGAGUCAUGGAACCUACGGCAUAUGAACAAACUUCUAAGCAUGAACCCCAUGUUGACAAAAAAUGGCUGGUUUCACAGAUGCACGAUUCAAGAGAUAAAAAUCAUGUGCCUCGUAAAAAUUCUUCCUUUCCACACUUUGAUUUCUCAUCAGUGGAGGAUCCGUAUAAGGCAUGUGGGGGAAAGGUUGGAUGCCAGCUUUGAUCAUGGAUUUCAAGUUGAACAUCCUGUGUCUAUGGUCUCUGUUGUUUCUGCCCUAGAGGAAAUUAAUAAAGAUCUUGAUGAACGAUGCCAUGAUGAUGACGGCACUCCAUUUGAUCAGAUAGGUCAAUCAGUUGUAUCUUCUCCUGCAUAUUCAUCAAGAAAUUCAAAGGAAAUCCUGCAGGAAAAGGAUCUUUCAACAAGAACUUCUGGUGGAGCUAAGUGGGAGAGUUUGUUGAGCUAUUCCAGUAAAUAUGUUGUAUUUGAUGCUGGAGGUCUUGGGGAUAAUUCAGUAGCUGGGUUUGAGAUACCACUUGAUGUCAUUGUUGAUAAAUGCAUUGUGCAGGAAAUCUUCCUUCAAUAUAAGUAUGUGAGUGACUUCACCAUUAAGUUGCUUGAGGAAGGAUUUGAUCUUCAAGGACAUCUUUCGGCUUUGCAACAUUACCAUUUUAUGGAAUUAGCAGACUGGGCGGAUUCAUUCAUUAUGUCUCUUUGGCGUCAUGUAUGCUCUUCCCUGUCAAUAUCAUUUCUAUCAUUUCUAUCAUUAAGUUACUCAUUAUCUCUUCUGAAAUAUUGGAUUGACAUAUCUGGGCCAUUUUUGAUUCCAUUGAUUUCAUUUCUUCCAACCAGAAAUGGCAUGUUUCUUAGGCCGA